AUUGAACGCUGGCGGCAGGCCUAACACAUGCAAGUCGAGCGGAGCGGCGGACGGGGGAGUAAUGCCUAGGAAUCUGCCUGGGAGUGGGGGAUAACGUACGGAAACGGGCGCUAAUACCGCAUACUAUCAGCAGAGCCUGGGUCGGAUUGGCUAGGUGGUGGGGUAAAGGCCUACCAAGGCGACGAUCCGUAACUGGUCUGAGAGGAUGAUCAGUCACACUGGAACUGAGACACGGUCCAGACUCCUACGGGAGGCAGCAGUGGGGAAUAUUGGACAAUGGGCGCAAGCCUGAUCCAGCCAUGCCGCGUGUGUGAAGAAGGCCUUCGGGUUGUAAAGUACUUUAAGCUGGGAGGCGUUACUCGCAGAAUAAGCACCGGCUAACUCCGUGCCAGCAGCCGCGGUAAUUC
rnacentral:rRNA from 1 species